CAGAUCUCACAAAGAAAAGCGAUCCUCAUAUGCCCCCGAGAAUGGCGUGCGGUAUGAUGGAAUUUAUAGAAUUGAAAAGUGCUGGCAGAUAGCUGGAUUGCAGGGUUUCAAAGUUUGCCGGUAUCUAUUUGUUAGAUGUGACAAUGAACCCGCCCCGUGGACAAGCGAUGAUCAUGGAGAUAGGCCCAGACCCUUGCCCGUAAUUCGUGAACUGAAAAAGGCUACAGUCAUAUUUGAAAGGACCGAGACUCCAUCUUGGGAUUUUGAUGUGAGUGAUUAUUUAGGAGUUCUUCUUCCUUUUUCGA